GGCGCACGGGUGAGUAACACGUGGAUAAUCUUCCUCUGAGUGAGGGAUAACAUUCCGAAAGGGAUGCUAAUACCUCAUAAUACUCUAUGUUCCACGGAAGAUAGAGUCAAAGAUAGCCUCUGAAUCAAGCUGUCGCUGAGAGAUGAGUCCGCGCCCCAUUAGCUAGUUGGUAGGGUAAUGGCCUACCAAGGCGACGAUGGGUAGCUGGUCUGAGAGGAUGACCAGCCACACUGGAACUGAGACACGGUCCAGACUCCUACGGGAGGCAGCAGUGAGGAAUAUUGCGCAAUGGGGGAAACCCUGACGCAGCAACGCCGUGUGGGUGAUGAAGGCCCUCGGGUCGUAAAGCCCUGUCAGGUGGAAAGAACGCUAUGUGGCUAAUAUCCAUAUAGCCUGACGGUACCACCAGAGGAAGCACCGGCCAACUCCGUGCCAGCAGCCGCGGUAAUACGGAGGGUGCAAGCGUUGUUCGGAAUUAUUGGGCGUAAAGGGCGUGUAGGCGGUUAAUCAAGUUAGAUGUGAAAUCCCUGGGCUCAACCCAGGAAGUGCAUCUGAGACUGAUCAACUAGAGUACAGGAGAGGAA
rnacentral:rRNA from 1 species